AUGGCGGCGGAGGGGCAGGAAAAGGAGAAGAUGGUGAUGUUGUGGAGCGAGGACGGCGUGGACUUCGUGCUGUCAGAGUCCGAGGCAGAGGCCCAGUGCGGCAGGAAAAUCAAAAUAAUGAUGAAGCACGACUUCGAGAACCACAUCAUCCCUUCCGGCGACGGCGGCGGCGGCGAAAUCAACUACUGCCUCAUCCGCCUCCCCGUCCGAGGCGACACACUCUCCAAGGUGAUAGACUACUCCAAGAUGCACGCCUCCGGAUCCCACGACUUUGACCCACUGGGAUGCGGACUUCAUCGCUGCUUUCAACCACGAGGCCCUCUUCGAUCUCAUCCUGGUGAGUACGCUUCGGAAUAUCUUCAAAUAAGAGGACUGAUUGACCUAGCUUGCCAGACUAUUGCUAGUAAGAUAAAGGGGAAAUCUCCGCGUGAAAUUUGUAAUAUCUUCAACAUCAAGAGUGUCUUUCCUCCGGAAUUAGAUGGAGAAAUGAUAGCAAAGCGAUUGCAAGAUUCCACAACUUGUUCGAGCGACAAGGAGUUGCCAUGCAGUGAGACCCAAUGUUUAAUGCAAGAGCUCGAAUUCGAGGAAAAGGCUUUGCAGGCUCUUGACAUAGUUCGAUGUCAAGAGUUUACGGGAUACGAUCCUAAGGUCAACGCUUACACCCGUACCCGAUUCGACAUAUUCAACCUAGCCUUCUUUGACCUUGACAAAGAGUGUGAGUAUUUUCAUAAUUGUUUCAUUCGUUAA
rnacentral:rRNA from 1 species